rnacentral:misc_RNA from 1 species
GAAAUGCGAUAAGUAGUGUGAAUUGCAGAAUUCAGUGAAUCAUCGAAUCUUUGAACGCACAUUGCGCCCUUUGGUAUUCCAAAGGGCAUGCCUGUUCGAGCGUCAUUUGUACCCUCAAGCUUUGCUUGGUGUUGGGCGUCUUGUCUCCAGUUCGCUGGAGACUCGCCUUAAAGUAAUUGGCAGCUGGCCUACUGGUUUCGGAGCGCAGCACAAGUCGCGCUCUCUUCCAGCCAAGGUCAGCAUCCACAAAGCCUUUUUUCAACUUUUGACCUCGGAUCAGGUAGGGAUACCCGCUGAACUUAAGC